rnacentral:rRNA from 1 species
AAGACCUUGCGCUUUUGGAGCGGCCGAUGCCUGAUUAGCUUGUUGGUAAGGUAAAAGCUUACCAAGGCUUCGAUCAGUAGCUGGUCUGAGAGGACGACCAGCCACACUGGGACUGAGACACGGCCCAGACUCCUACGGGAGGCAGCAGUGGGGAAUUUUGGACAAUGGGGGCAACCCUGAUCCAGCCAUGCCGCGUGAGUGAAGAAGGCCUUCGGGUUGUAAAGCUCUUUCAGCCGGAACGAAACGGUUACGGUUAACACCCGCGACUACUGACGGUACCGGAAGAAGAAGCACCGGCUAACUACGUGCCAGCAGCCGCGGUAAUACGUAGGGUGCGAGCGUUAAUCGGAAUUACUGGGCGUAAAGCGUGCGCAGGUGGUUUUGUAAGUCAGAUGUGAAAGCCCCGGGCUCAACCUGGGAACU